rnacentral:rRNA from 1 species
GGAAUAUUGGACAAUGGGCGAAAGCCUGAUCCAGCAAUGCCGCGUGAGUGAUGAAGGCCUUAGGGUUGUAAAGCUCUUUUACCAGGGAUGAUAAUGACAGUACCUGGAGAAUAAGCUCCGGCUAACUCCGUGCCAGCAGCCGCGGUAAUACGGAGGGAGCUAGCGUUGUUCGGAAUUACUGGGCGUAAAGCGCACGUAGGCGGCGAAGCAAGUCAGGGGUGAAAUCCCGGGGCUCAACCCCGGAACUGCCUUUGAAACUGAUGGUCUUGAGGUCGAGAGAGGUGAGUGGAAUUCCGAGUGUAGAGGUGAAAUUCGUAGAUAUUCGGAGGAACACCAGUGGCGAAGGCGGCUCACUGGCUCGAUACUGACGCUGAGGUGCGAAAGCGUGGGGAGCAAAC